rnacentral:ribozyme from 13 species
AAGAGAAAAGAGAAAAGGAAAAGAGAGAAAAAGAAAAAAUCAAACAAACAUUCGCAACACACGAUCUCUCGUCUCCCUCUCUCUCUUCUCUCUCGUACCCUGAGCCUUCGAUCCCUCCCAACAACCCUCCCAAUUCUUUCUCUGAGAAGAAAAGAGAAGAAGUAGAGAGAGAAGAAGAGAAGAGAGAAGA